rnacentral:ncRNA from 1 species
AUACUGAAAUGCAUGGUGGGAAAUCAGUGUGAAAUUCAUUGGCUGUACCUGCAACCGUAAAGUCGGAGCGCCACCCAGUAAAGUCCGCUGUUGAAUGAGGGCCAGGGAGAGUCUAGUUCUACUAAUAUCUAU